UUAAUACUCCCUCCGUCCCGAAAUUCUUGUCUUAGAUUAGUCUAGAUACGGAUGUAUCUAAUACUAAAACGUGACUUGAUACAUCUGUAUUUAGACAAAUUUAAGACAAUAAUUUUGGGACGGAGGGAGUAUAUA
rnacentral:pre_miRNA from 1 species